CACUCUUUCCCACCAGAAAAAGAAGGACACUCCCAAGGACUUAUCAAAAUAAAAAUGUAUACAUUCAUCAACUAGGUGAUACAUAUAUUAAUUAAGAGCAUAUAUAUAAUGACCGUUAAUAAAGGAUGUGGAAUUGUGCUGCCAAAGCUAUUCGAGGCUGGAACUGCUGGAGUUGGAUCGUUUUGAAGUUGUUUGUAGGUGCUAGUGCAAUUUUAAUAAAAGAGGAGAGAUGAUGAGAUGUCAUGGUGAUGGCUACCACUAACGAAGAGGAAAAUGAUAGACUUAAUGAAGGUAGUAAGUAGGGUUUGUGUUGUAAACAAAUGUAUACAAUUUUCAAGAGAAUAAUAAAUAUCUAUGUGUAUCAAUGCGUAUAUCGCGCAUCUUUUCAGCAACAAAAAAAUGUCAUUAACAAGUAUUUAUAACUUUUUUUAGCAUUAGGAU
rnacentral:lncRNA from 1 species